UCUGCCUGGUAACAGCUGACGAGCAGGUCAUGUGAUGUGUUCUCUGCUUUUUAGAGCCGCUCUCAGUCAGACUGUGUCAGUGUUUGUGAAGUGAACAGAGGAACAUGGCUUCAUCCUUUCUCAGCUUCUCCCUCCUCUUCAUCAUCAGCCUCUACACAGCAGAUGGAUUCCGGAGUUAUGACAUAGAUCGCUGUGUGUUUAACUCCACUGAUCCGAAGAACAUCGAGUACAUCUACUCUCAAUAUUACAACAAGUUGGAGUUCACCAGGUUCAGCAGCAGUGUGGGAGAGUUUGUUGGUUACACUGAGUGCGGAGUGAAACAGGCUAAAUACUUUAACAGUGAUCCUUCAAUACUGGCUCGGAGGAGAGGUGAGAAGGAGAGGUACUGCCUGAACCACGUUAACACUUACUACCAGGCUGCUCUGGAUAAAUCAGUUAAGCCCUAUGUCAGACUGCACUCGGUGGCGCCCCCUGCUGGUAAACAUCCCUCCAUGUUGGUCUGCAGCGUCUACGACUUCUUCCCCAAACACAUCAGAGUGAGCUGGCUCAGAGACGGACAGGAAGUCACCUCUGAUGUCACUUCCACUGAUGAGCUGGCAGACGCUGAUUGGUUCUACCAGAUCCACUCUCACCUGGAGUACACGCCCAGGUCUGGAGAGAAGAUCUCCUGUGUGGUGGAGCACGCCAGCCUGAGAGAACCUCUGGUUACUGACUGGGACCCCUCCAUGCCUGAGUCUGAGAGAAACAAGAUCGCCAUCGGAGCCUCCGGACUGAUCCUGGGUCUGAUCUUGUCUCUGGCUGGAUUCAUCUACUACAAGAGGAAGGCCCGAGGAAGGAUUCUGGUUCCCAGUAACUGAUCCUGGUCCUGAUCCUGGUCCUGGUCCUGGUCCUGUCCCUGGUCCUGUCCCUGUCCCUGUCCCUGGUCCUGUCCCUGGUCCUGUUCCAGUUCCUGUUCCUGUCCCUGGUCCUGGUCCUACUUGCUGUGUUUGGAGCUCAGCAGACUGUCAGUGCUGCCCCCUGCUGGACCAUCUGAACACUGAUUCUCUGAUGAUCUGGACUCUGAUACUGAGCUGGUCUGAACCUGAUCCAGGACAGUCCUGUUGGUUGUGAACCUUUAUGAGGACGGUCCUGGACCAGGUUCAGUGUGGCUCUGGAUCUGGACUCUGAUGCUUUACUGUGUGAAAUCAAUAUUCAGCUUUUUGAAUCCAAUAUAAUCUGGUGGUGUGAAUGAUUUUAUUACCUGCAGUCAGAAACUCUCUGUGGAUUAUUGAUCAGAUAUCAAUCAACAGGAAGUGGAAUGAUCUAUUGAUUCUGUCUGAGAGCUCUGUCAUUGAUUAUAAAGUUCAUAUUAAAGUUUUAAAGACG